AUUGGAUUCUGUCGUUGUCAACAGAGAGCAGAGAUCACACUACUCUCUUCUCCCCUCGUGAGGAGCUGUAGGCCACCAUAAGCAGUUCAUCAGAACUGACAUGGUGCAUACAAAAACAUGGAGCAUUUUAGACCAUACACCAGGAGUAUCUGUCAGCAAAGAAAACAGCAGUCAGAAUACAUCUGUGAAAAUCAUACAUGGGUUUGGUUAUAAGCUGCCUUGAGUGAACUACCAGCCCCCAACUGAGUCUGAAGCAUCAUGCUUUUCAUGAGAAGGAAAAUAAAGGUGACAGUUUCCAAAGAUC